GACUACUCGAGUAUCUAAUCCUGUUCGAUCCCCACGCUUUCGUGCCUCAGCGUCAGUUGAGCGCCGGUAUGCUGCCUUCGCAAUCGGAGUUCUGCGUGAUAUCUAUGCAUUUCACCGCUACACCACGCAUUCCGCAUACUUCUCGCUCACUCAAGAAGACCAGUUUCAACGGCAGGCCGGUGUUGAGCACCGACAUUUGACCGCUGACUUAACCUUCCGCCUACGCACCCUUUAAACCCAAUAAAUCCGGAUAACGCUCGCAUCCUCCGUAUUACCGCGGCUGCUGGCACGGAGUUAGCCGAUGCUUGUUCUUCGGGUACUCUCCUUCCCGCCACACGUGGCGGGCCUUGCUCCCCGACAAAAGAGGUUUACAAUCCAUAGGACCGUCAUCCCUCACGCGACUUGGCUGGUUCAGGCUUGCGCCCAUUGACCAAUAUUCCUCACUGCUGCCACCCGUAGG
rnacentral:rRNA from 1 species